UACGUAGGGGGCUAGCGUUGUCCGGAAUCAUUGGGCGUAAAGCGCGUGUAGGCGGUCCGGUAAGUCCGCUGUGAAGGUCGGGGGCUCAACCCUCGGAUGCCGGUGGAUACUGUCGGGCUUGAGUACGGAAGAGGCGAGUGGAAUUCCUGGUGUAGCGGUGAAAUGCGCAGAUAUCGGGAGGAACACCUGUGGCGAAGGCGGCUCACUGGACCGGUACUGACGCUGAUGCGCGAAAGCGUGGGGAGCAAACGGG
rnacentral:rRNA from 1 species